rnacentral:rRNA from 1 species
CCUACGGGAGACAGCAGUGGGGAAUAUUGCACAAUGGGGGCAACUCUGAUGCAGCGACGUCGCGUGAGUGAUGAAGUAUUUCGGUGUGUAAAGCUCUAUCAGCAGGGAAGAAAAUGCCGGUACCUGACUAAGAAGCACCGGCUCACUCCGUGCCAGCAGCCGCGGUAAUAAGGAGGGGGCACGCGUGAUCCGGAUUUACUGGGUGUAAAGGGAGCGUAGGCGGCGGUGCAAGCCAGAUGUGAAAUCCCGGGGCUCAACCUCGGAACUGCAUUUGGAACGGUGCGGCUAGAGUGUCGGAGAGGCAGGCGGAAUGCAUAGGGUAGCGGUGAAAUGCGUAGAGAUUAGGCAGAACACCAGUGGCGAAGGCGGCCUACUGGACGAUGACUGACGUUGAGGCACGAAAGCGUGGGGAGCAAACAGGAUUAGAUACCCGGGUAGUC